UAGAGAGGAAUGCCAGUUAUGAUUUCAUAAUAGGGACAAUAAUUUACCAGGACCUUAAAAGGUAUGGAAGCUUUUGCCAAGUUAACUGGGGAAGUAAGAUGGGAAAAGAAAUAUAUGUAAGGGGGAAAACAGGAUGUGCGAAGGCAUGAAAACAUGUGUUCUCAGGGGAUCUUCUUCUUGUUUGUCUUACCGGAAUCACUGGUGAAAUCAACACAGCUAGAGUGGGGAGAUUCAUUUGUUAACUGUUGCUUCAGAAGCCAUGAAAAGAGCAAGAAGCCUGCAGGCCAUCAUUUGUUGACAUACACAGGAGAGAAUGAAAGAAAUGGAGAAAAAAAAAAGAAAGAAAAAAGAAGAAAGGAAAGAAAGAAAGAAAGAAAGAAAGAAAGAAAGAAAGAAAGAAAGAAAGAAAGAAAGAAAGAAAUGGAGUAACUACACACCAUCAGGAGGGGAGGAAUGAUGCCCGGGAUGUAACAGGGGGGAAGAGGAGGAAAGCUACCGUGAUAACGUGGGGGGGGGGGGGGGGCAGGAAGNGAUUGCAGUGUGGCCACAGCAACAGAUAGAUAAUCUGAGUACCAAGCCAUGCAGAAGGAAGGAAACAGAGGCACCCUCUGUAACAGGGUGAGGGAAUCCCAAGUAGAGAGAAAGGAGAGGCAGGAGAAAUGGGGCCUUGUUGUGCCAGGCUGGAGAGGAAUUACUAGUGAUGUCAUCUUUGAUAACUAGAAGACUGAAUUGGCAUCUAUUGGCUUGCUCUAAUUCAAACUUUUUUUUCCUCUUAGAUUAAUCAUACGUAUAUAAGUUCAACUUCCUUAUCUGAGUAUACACGUGCUGUAAGAAAUUUCGCAUGUUUUAGCGUCAUGCUCAGUGCUGCCUGCUGUUCACUCCCAAAGAGUAUGGUACAACCAGACUUAUCCUUGACUAUUUUUUUUAGCUGUGGCAUCAGCUCUUAGUUGGUAUCACAUUUAAUUAAAAUUCGGGUUAUUUAGUGGAAGGAUCACACUUCUUCUUACUUGUAUUUUUAUAGGUUGGGAGUUAUGAUCCAAGCUACUUCCAUGAAUUGGAGUUAUGUGGUGUAUGAUGAUUAGGGCAACCUGACUCCAACCUUGGCCUGAUAACUAGCUACUUAUUGUGCUUUUAAGAAUUUCUUCUUUUGUAAAAUGGAAGUAAUAAUACCUACCUCACAAGAUUGUUGGGAAAUUAAAAUGCAGUGGUAAUUGAGAAGCACUUAGCACAACCUGGCACAGUAUAACGGACUAGUUAAAUACCUGUUAUUAUAUACUCCUUAUAAAGAUUGCACUUGGUGGGGUUCACGUAAGAUCGAAGAAACAGGUAGGAGAUUACGAUUUAUUUUAAAUUUUAUGUCAGGUAGCACUGUAGGCAUGUACAUCACAGCAUCUGUCCCUGGCCCCCACUGGGGAUGGGGGGCCAAGGGGUACAGGUGCAGGAGGAGGCAGUCACUGAUCACUGGCAACACCUACAUCCUCUGCUUUCUCCUACUGGCUGGAUAUGAAAAGCAGAGUUAAACACCAUGACAUCUACUGCUCUUUAUGUUAAAUAAACCAAGGCCUUCCAUAAAUUAAAAUGAUUUC
rnacentral:lncRNA from 1 species